AUACGUAGGGAGCGAGCGUUGUCCGGAAUUACUGGGUGUAAAGGGAGCGUAGGCGGGAGUGCAAGUCAGAUGUGAAAUACAUGGGCUCAACCCAUGGGCUGCAUUUGAAACUGCAUUUCUUGAGUGAAGUAGAGGUAAGCGGAAUUCCUGGUGUAGCGGUGAAACGCGUAGAUAUCAGGAGGAACACCGGUGGCGAAAGCGGCUUACUGGGCUUUUACUGACGCUGAGGCUCGAAAGCGUGGGGAGCAAACAGGAUUAGAUACCCUGGUAGUCCACGCUGUAAACGAUGAUUACUAGGUGUGGGGGGACUGACCCCUUCCGUGCCGCAGUUAACACAAUAAGUAAUCCACCUGGGGAGUACGGCCGCAAGGUUGAAACUCAAAUGAAUUGACGGGG
rnacentral:rRNA from 1 species